rnacentral:rRNA from 1 species
UACGUAGGGGGCUAGCGUUGUCCGGAAUCAUUGGGCGUAAAGCGCGCGUAGGCGGCCCUGUAAGUCCGUUGUGAAAGUCAAAGGCUCAACCUUUGAAAGCCGAUGGAUACUGCAGGGCUAGAGUUCGGAAGAGGCGACUGGAAUUCCUGGUGUAGCGGUGAAAUGCGCAGAUAUCAGGAGGAACACCGGUGGCGAAGGCGGGUCUCUGGGCCGAUACUGACGCUGAGGAGCGAAAGCGUGGGGAGCGAACAGG